rnacentral:rRNA from 1 species
UUCACCUGUUUUUCAAAAACAUGUCUUGAAGAUCUAAUAAUUUUAAGUCAAAUUCUGCACAAUGAAAAUAAUUUUUAAAUAGCUGCAGUAUAAGUGACUGUACAAAGGUAGCAUAAUAAAUUGUUUUUUAAUUAAAAACUUGAAUGAAAGAUUUAAUGAAAUAUAAACUGUCUCAAAUUAAAUAAAUAAAAUUAUUAUUUAAGUAAAAAAACUUAAAUUUAUUUUAAAGACAAGAAGACCCUAAAGAAUUUUUAUAUUUAAAUUUUAAAAUUAAUUUUAUAAAAUUUAAAUAAUUUGAUUGGGGAAAUUUUAAAAUUAAAUUAACUUUUAAUUAAAAAAAACAAUAAUAUUUGAAUAAUUCAAACUUUUUAAAAAAAAAAAAUAAAUUACCUUAGGGAUAACAGCAUAAUUAUUUUUUUAAAGACCAAAUUUAUAAAAAUGCUUAUGACCUCGAUGUUGAAUAAGAA